CUAGGAUAUAUCUUUUACUAGUGGAAAGAAUUUUAUAGAGAAUGGUGGAUAUAUGACAAUACAAGAGCAUAUUUGUGAAAAAGCUGUUCUGCUGAUUCCACUGUUUCAGAAGACAAAAAUGAUGAGCUCAGUCAAGAGGACCAAUGGCAGAAAGUAAAGAAGAUUUCUCACCUGAAGUCUGUUGACCAUAGUCACUUUCAACAUGCAUUGGAAUGCAUUACAAAAAUGCCAACCUUCAAAU